GCCUACGGGGGGCAGCAGUAGGGAAUAUUGCUCAAUGGGGGAAACCCUGAAGCAGCAACGCCGCGUGGAGGAUGAAGGUUUUCGGAUUGUAACUCCUUUUGUUAGAGAAGAUAAUGACGGUAUCUAACGAAUAAGCACCGGCUAACUCCGUGCCAGCAGCCGCGGUAAUACGGAGGGUGCAAGCGUUACUCGGAAUCACUGGGCGUAAAGAGCGCGUAGGCGGGAUAGCAAGUCAGAUGUGAAAUCCUAUGGCUUAACCAUAGAACUGCAUUUGAAACUGUUAUUCUAGAGUAUGGGAGAGGUAG
rnacentral:rRNA from 1 species